GGGCUUGUACUGGUUUCGACGGGGGUCUGGAAGUUGGAGAAGCCAUCCGUAGCGGGACACUACGAUAAAAGUUCCACUUUAAAAUUAAACGCAGACGAAAAUUUAGCGUACGCUGCCUAAUUGCGGCAGCAGUCGGCCUUAGGUCAUCCGUUGCUUAAGUAACCGGCUUCAAACAGACGGAGCACUUCGUUCUCAAAGCUUUGAGGGAAUGGAAGAUUUUAUGAAGCUACUAAGAUCAGUAACCCGUCAUUAGGUGACUGAUGGAGGGAAUGUCAAAGUAAUGACUGUGAUGGGAGAAGCUCUGGUGGAUGGGCUUUCGGACGCGGGUUCAACUCCCGCCAGGUCCACUA
rfam:Dorea formicigenerans CAG:28 genomic scaffold, scf190